UGUCCCUGAGCCGCUCCUUACUCUCCACCCUCCCUUGUUUCUCCCCUUCUUCUGUCCCCACAAAGGCCCAGGGCAGCAAGGAUGGGAAGCCAAAGCAGAAGGUGAUCAUCGCCGACUGUGGGGAGUACGUGUGAGUCGGCGCAGUCUCGGCUCUGCCCCUGCGCAUCCGGGAGCCGUCAGCCUGGGAGCCAGCACCUGCACGUGUCCGUCCCCUCUGCGGCGAGCAGGGGCUUGUGCUGUGGCCCUUCUCGGGGUCAGCUCGCAGCAGCUCUUCUCAGGUCCAAAUGCUUGCUCAAAGCUUCAUGGUAAGAAGAGAAACCCAGGAAGGCUCCCCCUUCAGCUUCCCAGAGGCUGUAGGACUCUGGACUUUGGGAGGAAACAGUGACACAAUACAGCCCUGUCCUCCGUCCUCAGCAGAGGCCCUGCCCCCGUGGGUCACCAAGUCAUGGUAGGUCCCUGCAUGCCAGACUCUCACGGGCAGGAGAUCAGGUAUGACCCCACCUCAUCUCUAGAGAUGACCACAUUUAGAUUUUUUAGAAAAAGCGCAGCUUUAAAGUAGACGCAGCAGCACCUCCUGGACAUGUUCUGAGUGGAGGGGGUUUUAACAGGAAGGAAGGCUUAACAUGUUCCUAACCAGAUAUGCAAAUGUAUUUAAAGUAAAAAAGACCACUAGUAGAUGCUGUUCAUUCAGUACCUCUGCAUGCAUGGUGCUGAGUGUUUUGUGGACACCCCUGAUCCCCACGAUGGCCUUGCAGGGGCAGAAUACUCCAUUCAGAGGAAAAAUCUCUAACUUAGAGGUGACAUAAUUUGGUCAAAUUAAUAAGAGGCAGAGCCUGGAUUCUAUGUGAGGUCUACUGGCUCAAAAACCCACCGUAUCCUGUUCACAGCCUCCUUUCCUGUGAAAUUGCAGGGCAUUUCUCAAAGCAUGGUACCCAUUUCCCUACAUAGAGACACAAAAGAAUAGGGCUUUGCCUGGUGAGCUGUCCUCUGGGCCAGUACCACGCUCUGACUGUGGAGGUGUGCUGGGGGUGAGGCGCACAGAGCGGUUCCCCCCACACCACCGCCCCCAGACUUGGCUGUUCCCUGGUGGCCUCCCUUCCUGGCAGCACUUACUUUGCUGUCAGUGGGCCUGAGCUGACCACGCUUAUGUAUGCUUCUACAUAUAUAACCUAACCUAACCUGGGCUAUUGGGCAACUAUAUAAUAAAUAAGAUGGCUGCCCCUUCAUUUACUUUGCAUCCAUAAUUCUACCCAUUCUCCAAGGCCUUUUCUGUUUGGUUUCAAUUUGUGGGCUGGCUGGAGGUUCUAGAAGUCUGUCAGGAAGUCUCUGACCACUGUACGUUCAGCUUUAUGGCACAGAAAGGGACUCUGAUCAUGACACAUUCCUGUUCGGCACAUCCAAGGGACCAGGCAGUCUGCAUGUUGAAAACAUUCAUUCUACAGGCUUUCCUGGUGCCACCAAAGCAUGCCAGGUUAGGUGCCAGGUGUUGAAGAGACCAAAUACUGACAUUUGUUCAAAGUUUUCAAACCUCCACUGCCCUUGAUACUGGGAGGAGAGAGCUGCUAACCAAAGCCCUGAAAUGGCAGGUUUCAUGUCCUACAUACCCGGCAGCUGGGCACUCAGGCUGUGUCUUUGCUCUGUGACCGAGGAGAGGGCCAGGGUUUCAGGGAGGAAGGAGUCUAUAUCCUUCUGUCACAGAUGAGAAACUGAAACUUGAAUCAGGAAGGGGACUUGUCCUGACACCAAACUGGGCAGUGGCUGCGUUGGAACUAAAGUACAGGUCUCCUGACAUUCCAGCCACUCCAUGCUCCAGUCCCUGCCAGCCUGAGCUCAGAGCCCCAGGCUAAUAGGGAACUCCCCACUCUGCAGACAAUCUGGGCCUGUCCUCCUCUGUACUUGGUGCUCCACAGUCCCUUCCAGGUCCCCGUGGAGGGGCUGCUGUCCUGCAGCAGGGCCCCGGCCUCCGCACCUGCUGUCCCAGGGCCCCUCCUCAGGGUGCAGAGUGACAGCAGGGGUGCACAUCCUUGGGCACAGGGGUGGUUCUGCCCCGGCUGAGCUGUGCCUGUGGGUUGGGCGGGCCCAGGAUCUGCUUUUAAUGACCCAGUAUUUCAGGGCUCGGGCAGCUGGACUCUGUCUGCUCCAGCAGGUAAAUUACAGGCUUAGCAAGUCAGAAAUCAAAUAAACACUCCAACUGCCUGUGGCGCUGCUCCGAGAACAGUGGUUUCCGGGAACCUUCGCCCAGGUCAGCCGAAUUAACUGCCUGUCACUCCCCUGGGACAGGGACCUUUUCUGUGGUUUGCAGGCCUGGAGAGACAGCACAGUGCUCCUGGGCACCAGGGCAGUACAGACAGGUGAGCAGCCUGUCCUUAACCCCUCAGUCCUAGCAGACAGGCAGUUCCCCUCCCUGCCCCGUGCCUGGCCCCAGGUGUCCUGGGUACCAUGCUGUGGGUGGAACAGGUUGCUCCUUAGUGUGGCAGGUGGGGGAAACUGAGUUUCAUUUGCUGGUGGGUGUCUGGAGUUAUGUGCUGAGUCCUGAGGCCUGUCCGGGUUCAGUGGAAAACAUA
ensembl:lncRNA